rnacentral:rRNA from 1 species
UCGAUACUGACACUGAGGUGCGAAAGCGUGGGAGCAAACGGGAUUAGAUACCCCGGUAGUCCACGCCGUAAACGAUGUCUACUAGCCGUUGGAGGACUUGAUCCUUUAGUGGCGCAGCUAACGCGAUAAGUAGACCGCCUGGGGAGUACGGUCGCAAGAUUAAAACUCAAAUGAAUUGACGGGGGCCCGCACAAGCGGUGGAGCAUGUGGUUUAAUUCGAAGCAACGCGAAGAACCUUACCUACUCUUGACAUCCAGUGAACUUUUGAGAGAUCAAUUGGUGCCUUCGGGAACACUGAGACAGGUGCUGCAUGGCUGUCGUCAGCUCGUGUUGUGAAAUGUUGGGUUAAGUCCCGUAACGAGCGCAACCCUUGUCCUUAGUUACCAUCAUUAAGUUGGGGACUCUAAGGAGACUGCCGGUGACAAACCGGAGGAAGGCGGGGACGACGUCAAGUCAUCAUGGCCCUUACGAGUAGGGCUACACACGUGCUACAAUGGCAUGUACAAAGGGUUGCCAAGCCGCGAGGUGGAGCUAAUCCCAUAAAGCAUGUCGUAGUCCGGAUUGGAGUCUGCAACUCGACUCCAUGAAGUCGGAAUCGCUAGUAAUCGUGAAUCAGAAUGUCACGGUGAAUACGUUCCCGGGCCUUGUACACACCGCCCGUCACACCAUGGGAGUGGGUUGCUCCAGAAGUAGAUAGCUUAACCUUCGGGAGGGCGUUUACCACGGAGUGAUUCAUGACUGGGGUGAAGUCGUAACAAGGUAGCCGUA